AUUGAACGCUGGCGGCAUGCUCUACACAUGCAAGUCGAACGGCAGCGCGGGCUUCGGCCUGGCGGCGAGUGGCGAACGGGUGAGUAAUACAUCGGAACGUGCCCAGUAGUGGGGGAUAGCUCGGCGAAAGCCGGAUUAAUACCGCAUACGACCUGAGGGUGAAAGCGGGGGAUCUUCGGACCUCGCGCUAUUGGAGCGGCCGAUGGCAGAUUAGCUAGUUGGUGGGGUAAAGGCCUACCAAGGCGACGAUCUGUAGCUGGUCUGAGAGGACGACCAGCCACACUGGGACUGAGACACGGCCCCGACUCCUACGGGAGGCAGCAGUGGGGAAUUUUGGACAAUGGGCGAAAGCCUGAUCCAGCAAUGCCGCGUGUGUGAUGAAGGACUUCGGGUUGUAAAGCACUUUUGGCGGGAACGAAAAGGACUGUGCCAAUACCACGGUUCGAUGACGGUACCCGCAGAAUAAGCACCGGCUAACUACGUG
rnacentral:rRNA from 1 species